CGGCCGCGUCGACCCGGAGGAAGGUGGGGAUGACGUCAAAUCAUCAUGCCCCUUAUGACCUGGGCUACACACGUGCUACAAUGGAUGGUACAACGAGUCGCAAGGUCGCGAGGCCAAGCUAAUCUCUUAAAGCCAUUCUCAGUUCGGAUUGUAGGCUGCAACUCGCCUACAUGAAGCCGGAAUCGCUAGUAAUCGCGGAUCAGCACGCCGCGGUGAAUACGUUCCCGGGUCUUGUACACACCGCCCGUCGACGCGGCCG
rnacentral:rRNA from 1 species